rnacentral:ribozyme from 13 species
CCCAACAAAAAAAAAAAAAAAAAAAAAAAAAAAAAAAAAAAAAAAAAAA